UCUGAUGCUCAUAUUUCACCUGGUGACAAUUGAGGCACCGAGCUACAAAUCCCGCUUUAUCUUUCUUCAUUCUUCUCCAUCGGUAGUGCGGUCUCAAAUCUUGGUACAUCUUCACAGCACCCAGAUGGAUGAAAUACCGCGAGCUAUGGGACCGAAGGCCAUCUACAUCGGGCACACAUAUUCGUCCCUACAUCCUCAAUACCCUAUCAUUACCAAUAGUCACAUCUAUGGCAUCGUCGUGCUGAACUCUGUCAUUGAGGAUAAGAAAAUGAAGAUCAUCAUACUGGUGCCUCUGAUACGAUCAAAUAAGGAAGUAGAAAAUGUGAAAUAUUUGACAGGAUACAUUUCGGGAACAUAGAAUGUAAGAGAAAUUCAAUUGUGAAACAAUACGUCAGCUCAACCGAGAAACCACACAAGCUAAGACCCGACUGGGCUCCAAAAUACCAACCUCACAAACCGAUUAGCUAAGGCCUGAACAUCAACUGCAAGAGGUCUCUCCCCAACAGGAAUACACGCCAAACUGCCCAUACUCAUCGCCUUCCUACUCAAGGCAUCGAUUACUGUAUUGGCCUUCCCCAGACGGUACAAGAUAGUGAUAUCAUAGUCCUUUAGUAGCUUUAACUAUCUCUGUUGCCUCAAAUUGAGAUCCUUCUGCUUUAACAAGUGGUGGAGGCUAUGAUGAUCAGUUAACACUUCACG
rnacentral:lncRNA from 1 species